GCUCAGUAACACGUGGAUAACCUACCCUUAGGACCGGGAUAACCUUGGGAAACUGAGGAUAAUACUGGAUAGGCAAUUUUUCCUGCAAUGGUUUUUUGUUUAAAUGUUUUUUCGCCUAAGGAUGGGUCUGCGGCCGAUUAGGUAGUUGGUUAGGUAACGGCUUACCAAGCCAUUGAUCGGUACGGGUUGUGAGAGCAAGAGCCCGGAGAUGGAACCUGAGACAAGGUUCCAGGCCCUACGGGGUGCAGCAGGCGCGAAACCUCCGCAAUGUGAGAAAUCGCGACGGGGGGAUCCCAAGUGCCAUUCUUAACGGGAUGGCUUUUCAUUAGUGUAAAGAGCUUUUGGAAUAAGGGCUGGGCAAGACCGGUGCCAGCCGCCGCGGUAACACCGGCAGCUCUAGUGGUAGCAGUUUUUAUUGGGCCUAAAGCGUCCGUAGCCGGUUUAAUAAGUCUCUGGUGAAAUCCUGUAGCUUAACUGUGGGAAUUGCUGGAGAUACUAUUAGACUUGAGACCGGGAGAGGUUAGAGGUACUCCCAGGGUAGAGGUGAAAUUCUGUAAUCCUGGGAGGACCGCCUGUUGCGAAGGCGUCUAACUGGAACGGUUCUGACGGUGAGGGACGAAAGUUAGGGGCGCGAACCGGAUUAGAUACCCGGGUAGUCCUAACCGUAAACGAUGCGGACUUGGUGUUGGGGUGGCUUUGAGCUGCUCCAGUGCCGAAGGAAGCUGUUAAGUCCGCCGCCUGGGAAGUAC
rnacentral:rRNA from 1 species